GGCCCUUCGGGGUACUCGAGCGGCGAACGGGUGAGUAACACGUGAGCAACCUGCCCUCAGCUUUGGGAUAACCCUCGGAAACGGGGGCUAAUACUGGAUAUUCACUGCUUCGCGCAUGUGGGGUGGUGGAAAGUUUUUCGGCUGGGGAUGGGCUCGCGGCCUAUCAGCUUGUUGGUGGGGUGAUGGCCUACCAAGGCGACGACGGGUAGCCGGCCUGAGAGGGCGACCGGCCACACUGGGACUGAGACACGGCCCAGACUCCUACGGGAGGCAGCAGUGGGGAAUAUUGCACAAUGGGCGCAAGCCUGAUGCAGCGACGCCGCGUGAGGGAUGACGGCCUUCGGGUUGUAAACCUCUUUCAGCUCCGACGAAGCGAAAGUGACGGUAGGGGCAGAAGAAGCGCUGGCCAACUACGUGCCAGCAGCCGCGGUAAGACGUAGGGCGCAAGCGUUGUCCGGAUUUAUUGGGCGUAAAGAGCUCGUAGGCGGCUGGUCGCGUCGACUGUGAAAACCCGCGGCUCAACCGUGUGGUCUGCAGUCGAUACGGGCUGGCUGGAGUUCGGUAGGGGAGACUGGAAUUCCUGGUGUAGCGGUGAAAUGCGCAGAUAUCAGGAGGAACACCGGUGGCGAAGGCGGGUCUCUGGGCCGAUACUGACGCUGAGGAGCGAAAGCGUGGGGAGCGAACAGGAUUAGAUACCCUGGUAGUCCACGCUGUAAACGUUGGGCGCUAGGUGUGGGGGGCCUCUCCGGCCUUCUGUGCCGCAGCUAACGCAUUAAGCGCCCCGCCUGGGGAGUAC
rnacentral:rRNA from 1 species